rnacentral:rRNA from 1 species
UACGUAGGUGGCAAGCGUUGUUCGGAAUUAUUGGGCGUAAAGAGCUCGUAGGCGGCUAGUCACGUCGGAUGUGAAAACCCGAGGCUCAACCUCGGGCCUGCAUUCGAUACGGGCUGGCUAGAGUACUGCAGGGGAGACUGGAAUUCCUGGUGUAGCGGUGAAAUGCGCAGAUAUCAGGAGGAACACCGGUGGCGAAGGCGGGUCUCUGGGCAGUAACUGACGCUGAGGAGCGAAAGCGUGGGGAGCGAACAGG